rnacentral:rRNA from 1 species
CAGCCGCCGCGGUAAUACCGGCGGCCCGAGUGGCGGUCACUAUUAUUGGGCUUAAAGCGUCCGUAGCCGGGUUGGGAAGUCCUCCGGGAAAUCUGGCCGCUUAACGGUCAGAAUGCCGGAGGAUACUCCCAGCCUAGGGAGCGGGAGAGGCCGAGGGGAUUCCCGGAGGAGGGGUGGAAUCCUAUAAUCCCGGGAGGGCCACCUGUGGCGAAGGCGCUCGGCUGGAACGCGUCCGACGGGGAGGGACGAAGGCCAGGGGAGCAAACCGGAUUAGAUACCCGGGUAGUCCUGGCUGUAAACGAUGCGGACUUUGUGUCGGACAAGCUAUGAGCUUGUCCGGUGCCGGAGGGAAACCGUUAAGUCCGCCGCCUGGGGAGUACGGCCGCAAGGCUGAAACUUAAAGGAAUUGGCGGG